AAUCUAUCGCCGCUGCUAAGCUAUCCCUCGCUGCUAAGCUAUCCCUCGCUGCUAAGCUAUCCCUCGCUGCUAAGCUAUCCCUCGCUGCUAAGCUAUCCCUCGCUGCUAAGCUAUCCCUCGCUGCUAAGCUAUCCCUCGCUGCUAAGCUAUCCCUCGCUGGCUAAGCUAUCCCUCGCUGGCUAUCCCUCACUGCUAAGCUAUCCCUCGCUGGCUAUCCCUCACUGCUAAGCUAUCCCUCACUACUAAGCUAUCUAUCGCUGCUAAUCUAUCGCUGCCAAUCUAUCUAUCGCUGCCAAUCUAUCUAUCGCUGCCAAUUUAUCUACCACUGCCAAUCUAUCUAUCGCUGCUAAUCUAUCGAUGCUGUCAAUCUAACUAUCGCUGCUAAUCUAUCGCUGCUAAUCUAUCGCUGCUAAUCUAUCGCUGCCAAUCUAUCUACCGCGGCGAAUCUAUCUAUUGCUGCCAACCAACCUACCUACCACUGCCAAUCUAUCUAUCGCUGCCAAUCUAUCGCUGCCAAUCUAUCGCUGCCAACCUAUCUACUGCAGUGAAUCUAUCUAUCACUAUCAUUACUAGUUCAAAAUAGAACUAGAGCAUAAAUACACUAAACUUCUUUUGAUAGAUAAUGAUUUUUGAUAAUGCUCAUAGCAUUAUAUCAUCUAUAUAGGGUAAAUCAUGGUCUCAUUUGGUCCCAUUUUACAAAAUGGGAUCAAAUGGGAUCAGAAUUAGUAAUUUAUAAGAAGAACAUGAUCUGUGUAAGAGAUGGUUGUAGGUAUAAUUAUGAGAGUAGUGUGAAGUAUGCAUGUAG
rnacentral:sRNA from 1 species